CCCUUAGAUGUUCUGGGCCGCACGCGUGCUACACUGGGUGGAUCAGCGGGUCAGGUUGCGCGAAAGUGUUUCCUAAUCUUGAAAUCCGCUCGUGAUGGGGAUUGACGGUUGCAAUUUUCCGUCAUGAACGAGGAAUACCUUGUAAGCGCGGGUCAUCAUCCCGCGCUGAAUACGUCCCUGCCCUUUGUACACACCGCCCGUCGCUCCUACCGAUUGAGUGGUCCGGUGAGGCUUUGGGAUCUGAGCGGAAAGAGCGUUUCGCUGUUUCUGCCCGGAAAACUCAGUCGAACCUUAUCAUUUAGAGGAAGGAGAAGUCGUAACA
rnacentral:rRNA from 1 species